UGACGGAGGGGAACAUAAUUACAUUAGAACUUGUCAUGUUCAUGCAGAUGAAGCCUAGUGCAAUCCUGAAUGGAUCUUCUCAAGAGAAGUAUUCUUUUGUUUAUGCUGGGUGUUGAAAGAUAUGCCCUUCUGUGGCGUGUCCCAAUUUUACAUAUUGCAGUUGACUGGUGGAAGCAGCAGGUGUUCCAUUUUUCAGGUAUGCUUCACAUUUUUGACUUGGGGAUUAAAUUCUAAAUGAUCGCAAUAGGAAUUCAUACUUUUCUCUUAAACACUGAAGUCAUUAUAUCAUAAUAAUCUUAUAUUUUCUCUUUAUAUAUGAUUAUCAGUGCAGUGUUUAUAAAUCGGAGUUAAUAUUCUUGAUGUGCCGCAGCGCCAGAGUUAAUUUCUCACUUAUUUCCACUAGAUGUUUAAAACCUAGUGUGGAAUCUCCCUUAGUCCCCUCAAGAUAACCACCAAUUAGGUGUCACACUGAUUCUAGAAUACUAUGAACUUGUCAAAUCACCUGCUUCUUGUCACGAAUUAGAAUAAUGAAAUUAUUUGAACUGGGAACAUUGUUUGCACGUAAUUACUUAAAAUUGAUGAAAUGCUUGAGAUACUUUUUCACCUGCGCGAAACGUACAAGUUAAAGAAUUAAGAAUUCAUUAACAGGGGACCAUUCCACCUCUUUCAGUUCCCUAUUAUCUUAGAAUAUUGUUUUAUUUCCUAGACCAAAAUUGUCCUUAAUUUGUUGCUUGUCUUGGUUGGAGUUUGGACUUGGGCCAUGUUUCUUUAAGGUAGACCAUUUUUGCAGCUUUCUGCUAGCAAAUAGCCCAUUUCUAAGCUGAUCCAACAGAAUAGUAGAAAUGCCAGAAACUCCUCAAACAUAAUGCAUACUAGACUAGGAAGAAAGCAAAUUUACAUUUACAUAUAACAGUACUUCAUUUAAUCAUAAUUUAAUUAUCAAGUGAUCAACAUGCCCUUUUACUCAAGAGUUGAGACAGUUAACCAAUUAACAAGUUCUGGGCACCUUUAGAAGAGUGCUUGAAUGGAGCCUGGUUUUAAUUGAUUAAACUAACCGAUUGAAAUCUAGUGUAACAUUUGUUCAAACAUAUAGAGAUUUUAAGGUCAGGUGGGAGAGGUCUGGGCUUAAUAAAGUAGCCCAAAGUUUUGUAUGGUACUUUAUUUCGGAUGUGAGUGAAACAAAAAUCUCAUAUUAAUUCAUUGUCCUAUAAUUGAGCUCUAUGGACCUCAGGUGGUCCAUUAUGCACUGGAUAUGAAAAUUUUCACUUUGACUUUAUUCAAAUACAAUCUUUAUUUUGUUUUCUUUUGGGAGGCUCAAACUCUCUUUUCUUUUCUUUUUUCUGACACCUAUUGAAUGACGUUUCCCAACUUAAAUGACACAAGUCUUGGUCCACACCCCCCAGUGUCACUGUUUUUAUUGGAUGAUUUAGUCAUCCCUAACCCCAAUUCAAAGAAACUUACACAUUUUUAUAACUGCUUAGGCUAAUGUUUAAUUCUCAACUCCUACAUAAUGCGCUCCCCACCUUUGCUGGAUUUUAUUUCCUGUCUCUGCCAACUUUAGUUAUGGAAGAAUAAAAAAGAAAAAAAUGGUUCCCCUUAGAUUAAUAAGAUGUCAAAUACUCUGUCUCCUCCAUUUGGAAGCAAUCAAAUCUUUUGAAAAGCAGAGACCCUUUUGUGCGUGGGUGAGUCCACAAGUCUAGUUGAUGUCUGCUACUGCGGUCCCAUAUGUCUGCCAAAUAGGAUGCAUGAAGUGAUAGGUAGAAAGGUGCCUCUCAUACUACAGGCUUCUGAUCCAUAUAACAACAAUCUUUUCCAAAUACAAACUUAGAUUGCGAUGCCAAAAGGACACUGUUAUAGGAAGAAUCUUAGGCCAAGUUUAGUAGAAUUACUACUCCACCUUCUUCAUCCUUUUGCUGAUCCAUCUUGUCAUGAUUUUAACAGUUUUAUGGCUUUAUCUUUUCACUCAAAGCAACAUUACCCUACCAAAUUACCAUUGUUUGGAUUAGAAACUACUUGUAUGCUGUCUCCUGUGUUUUCCAUCAAAUUGAAAGACUAACCUAAUGUAUUUUUAGUUUUCUAAAGGAUUCAUUAUUUUGUCUGCUUCUCCCUUGUCUUGUAAUCAAACAUCCAAGCAUAUCUCUAAAUUUACUGCUGCUAUUGUAUCUUGAUCCAGGACCAUGGUAUUGUUCAGAUCAUCUAGAUGAACAAAUACAUUGUUCCUUUAGAAUACCAAAAUUUAGGUAGUUUAGCACAAUAGUUACUACAGUCAAGGAAGAAAUUAGUAAUUGGAGUCUCAAUCUAAAGUUUUUUUUAGGGGUACAUAAAAAUUUUAAAACUGAAACUCAAACCACAAAUUUUAAAAAAAGAAUCAUUACAAAUCUUAACUACUCUUGAUAACUACCAUCCAGCAAACUAAGACUAUCCUAGUGGUCUUUUUCCAUGCUAAGUGCAUGACAACUAAUCUCUUGGAGGGAAACUUUCCAUAAUCUGUCUCUCAGAUUAAAUUCUGCUAUUCUCUAUGCCCAUAAUUGUAAGACAGCUUUCUAAUAAAGCUGAACUAAAUAACAAAAAGGCUAAAACUAUAUCUUGACUUCUUGAGCGAUCCCAAAGCUUAACUAGAAAUUUAUAAUUUCAUAUUUGGGAAUAGCAUUCAGUAAAAAAUGUGGCAAUUAGGAUAAUAUCUAAUCACAAAAUUCUGAGUACUGCUCCUCUCUCACGCUAUGUACAAGGUUGUUUUUUAGGCUCAAUUAGUCGUUAAAAUCAGAACUCACUGAAACCAAAAAUUAAAAUAUCUUGACUUUCAACAACAGUAGGCAGUCACAUUCUAUCCACAUCUCUGUUCUCUCAUGUCCAAGAAAAGAAAAACAUUAAUUCCACAUCCAGUGGGGAAUACUGCAAAAAUAAGCAAACUGUUCCUGUAUCGAAAAGUGACGGGAUGCAAUUCCAUUGUAGUAAUGAUGUAAUUGCUGCUCAAAAAUGUAAAGAACUAAUGAAAUUGUAUAUGUAAUGAGAUUUUUUUUUGAUAAGUAAAUACAGUAAAUAACACACUUACAUUAAAACACUGGUUUCCAAAAAUUGGCAAACAGUAUUUUUAUUAUCAUAGGUCUUCAGACAAAUUUCUACAAUUGGAAAUCUACAUCUCAUACAUGCAUUGUGGUGCUUAAUUGGUAUCUGUCUUUUUAGGGGAAUAUCAUAAAGUUCCCUAGUUAGCAAUUCUACUGAAUUGUCUAUAUUCUUCCUGAAACAUUUUUCCUUGGGAUUGCCUCCUGGAAAUUCGAAAUAGUUCAUUCAUUUACAUGAACUCACGAGUGCAAGGAUGACUUGAAUCCACUCGUUUCCCUUUUCCUAACUACUAUUUUCCAUUUAAAAACACUAGAAAAUGCUAUUAUAGAUGCAAAGACAGAUCCAUAGCUUGCAGUACUGUUGUUUAAAACACAUUCCCUCCCCUUCCUUUUCUUCCUGUUUCUCGCAAGUAUAGUCUCUAUACAGUGAAAUGUAAAAGACAUACGAAGAGAAGUAUAAUAAGAAAAAGCUUAUGGCCGAUCUUUUCUUAAUGGAAAAUCUCUCUCUCUCUCUCUCUCUCUAUAUAUAUAUAUAUAUAUAUAUAUAUAUAUAUUAACUUGAUAUUGGAUGUGUUAAUCUCAUAUGUUCCUACCAUAUGAUAUUGAGAUAGUUCCAAAAAAGGUCCAGCUGUUGGUAACAUUGAUGAAUUUCAUUGGAAGUCUUGCACAUGUUUUGCAUUAGUUCGGUAUAAAGAAACUUGAUAAAAGGAAAGUGAUCACUGCCUCAUAUGUUGCUGUAGAUACAGAUUUUGGUUAAAUUUUCUUUAGGCAUUUUAACCAAACACCAUUGGAGGGAAUGCUUGUAAAUCUUUUGCGAAUAUAGUAUUUAAUUCUGGAUUUUUGGUCAAAGUAGGCGUGGUUUUAGGUGCGAGAAGAGUGGGUUUAAUGCUGUAGCACUAGUGAAAAAUAAAACACUGUAGUAGUUGACAGAUUAGGGUGUAGCGAUAGAUGAUUUGGACAUGUAAUUAUACCUACAAUUAAUAUGCCAGGAAGAGAGGUUUCAAGAAGCAAUAACUUGAAAUUACAUAUCUCAAGUAAGGUAAGAUUAUCUUUUUCAUGAAAACGAAAGGAAGAACAUAAGCUGAAGGAUCACAUGGUUAACAAAUUCAUCUGAGCUCUUUAUCCUGAUAAUAGCAAAAGCUACCGACAAAGUCUUUUGUCCUCAGUUAAUGGAUGGUCUUUUUUCUUUAGGGAGUGAACCAAUAUCAUGAAAGCUUUUAGGAUAUGGAUUUGAGCCUCCUUUUUGUAGUGGUGUCUCUAGAUAAUUGUAGUACAGUACUGCAAAAUCUGAUAUUGACUGUUUUGUAUCGCUACUGGUAUAUUUGUCAAGAUAAAUAUUAGUGUAGCUUCAGUAAGGUUAGAAAUUAUUGUCCGAUAUAUUUUGAAGUUUCAUUUGAUUAUAAUAGUAUUGUUUAAAAAGUUGGCUCAGAAAGUCAGAAUUACUUCUUCUUUUUUGAGUAUUAUCAGUCAGCUUAAUCUGCAUAUGAAGCUUAUUAUCUAGUGUCUACAUUGGGAUGGGUUAAUAAAGUCUUUACUAUAUGAUAUAUAUUUGUUAUAGCUGUACAUGCCUCAAGCCUCAUAUCGGGAUAUGGUAAAGGUUCAUUUCUUUAUUAAAACUUUGAUAACUGCAUGAUUUGGACAAGCAAGAUGAAAGAUGUUAAAAGAGUUUUGGAGUUGACUACAAUUUCUUGGGGCUCUAAGCUGAUUGAUUAUCUCCCAUCUUUAUUCCGCUAACAAAACCUAUCUAAUUUGAUGGAGACGAUUAAGGUUAUAUUUGUUUGCAAGGAUUAUACUUGGGAUAUAACUAUUAAUUUCAAGUGUCUUGUUUGUUUUCAAAUUUGAACUUGGGACUAUUAGUCUCGGAUUAUAAAAUGACUUAAUAUUUUUGACAUUAUAAUUAUAUUUCCGGAAUUAUAAUCCUAUGAUUAAUUAGAUUUGGCAAAAAAUAGGUUUGUAUUGGUUUUGGUUACAUAAAAUAGGUUUGAGUUAAUUUUUGGAACCAAAACUAUAUUACCUAUAUUUAAUAUUGGUUAUGUGGUUUGAAUUUAAAUGGUAAUGGGUAGAAUUCAGGUCAACCUAUUUUUCAAAUUAUAGUUUCACUAAAAUCUUAAUUUCUUUUAUACUAAAAGAGUCUUAUUUUAAUUUUUUAGACCCAAGUUUGAAAUUAAAAAUUUUAAUUGAUGGGGGUGAGGGUGAGGGCGAAUAAAAAUAUAAAUAAGUGAAAUUCACAUAUAUUCAUGUCCAAUUUUCAUUUGUUAGAAUAUUGACAGAUUUGGAAGGAAAUUGAAGAGAGGAUCUAGCAUGUUAGUUACAAAUCAUGUCUCACAUCACUAAUCCUAUGAAAUAACAAAUUUAACCACUUGGCAUGCACUCAACAUUUCCGUUUUUAUUCUCUUAAAUUAAAGUUAAAACAAUUCAAUAUAAUUCAUCCUCAAAAUAUUCUAGACUAGUCAUUACUUGAAUAUAAAUUAUACUCAUUCUGUUUCAAUAUAUAUAUAUAUAUGAUUAAGUUUGAUUUUUUUAAAUUAAUUGAAAAUAUUUUAAAUUGAUGAUGUGAUUCAUAAACUUAUUGAAAUUAGCUAAUUUAGAAUGUUUGCAAUUUUAUAAAUGUAUUGCAUAAAAUUAAAUUAAUUUAUAUAUAAGUAUUGAAUUUAAAAAUAUUUUAAAUUAAAUUCAAAAAAUAAUAUUCAUCUUAUAAUUAUAUAACAUAAAUUUUUAGUUUUGAAACAUCUCAAAAAUGUAUGAGUGGAGCAUGUCCCUUUCUUGCAUGUGCCAUUUAUGAUUUGAGGAUUUUAUACUUGUCCAGCUUGCAAAACUUGAUGCNNNNNNNNNNNNNNNNNNNNNNNNNNNNNNNNNNNNNNNNNNNNNNNNNNNNNNNNNNNNNNNNNNNNNNNNNNNNNNNNNNNNNNNNNNNNNNNNNNNNAAUUCGUUUGGUCGUGGAAUAUUCUUACUGUCGGGGAAUAUUCGUAUGACGGCACAGCCUUGUGUGGGCCCUAUAACGGAAAGCGAUUGGAUGAAUAAAACGACAAAUAUAAGUUUAUAAAUAACGGCGUAGUUGGUACCGUUAAUACUGUUAAAAUAUUCGGUGGUUAAAACACAGUAGCACACGGUAUUACACCAAUUAUUGAUUCUUACGUAAGAAGACACUACUUAAUAAUUGUUACAGUAGUUACUGUUCAAUAUUUUAUUUUAUUGAUUCAAUAAUUGCUACGUUGAUAUUUUAUAUUAUUGUUGUUUCAAUAAUUGUCAUUACACAGUAUUUUCAUUAUCAGAUCAAUAAUUUAUAUUAUUUGAAUAAUAUUAUUAGAUAACAUUAUUGGCAAUGUCUAGAAAAUUCUGUCUAAGGAGAUGUUUGGUCACCUAAUUGCGCGCCAGUAAGGAGAAAUCUUUAUUGGAAAAAGCCCCCUCUUUCCUGGGAACAGCCUGGUUGCCAGUAUUGUGAUUCUGUAAUAUUAUUUGUGAAUAAUUAAUUAUUGAUUUAUAUGAUAAGGAAAAUAUUCAUUUUAUAUGGAUAUAGAUGGAGAAAUUUUUUAAUGUAACAAUUGUUUAAAAUUGAUAUUUUAUCUUUUCGAUAAAAUAAUUCAUUUAAAUAAUUUUUUUGCUUUGGUGUUCUAAGCAUUUUUCUAUAAAUAGGGUGCUUCGGUAUGAAGAGUCUCUGUUUCAGCUCUUUGGAGCUUCCUUUUCAGAGCUAAAACUUCCUUGUUCACCACUUUCAUGGCGUAAUAACAGCUCUCGUCGCUCUGGAGACUGCAGAGGUACACUUUUUCGAUGUCGCCGCUACCAAUCUGGCGGACGAGGCUAAAGUCUCGGAAUCCGAGGUGACUAUCGAUCUACUGUAAGAGAGCGAGAGAUAGAGAGAGAGAGAUAAAGGAGGGGGAAGAGGAGGAGAUCCGUGUUUAAGCUCAAGAGAAGAAAGUAGAUUCAUGUUCAAGAGAGAAGAAAGUAGAUCCGUGUUCAAGAGAGAAGAAAGAGAUAGGGUUCACUAUCGUCCUUCUUCUAAUUUCAAAAUUUAAGCUCUGUGUUUUAUUUUUGCUCCGUGUUUUUGUAAAUAGAUAAUGUUUUGUUUUUAAAAAUGUUAUCUAUUUAAAACCAAAAAUUACCCUUAUAAAAUACAUAACGUUUUUUCAUAUGUAUCUACAACGUUUUAUUAAAAAGUUAUAAAAAAAAAUACCACAACGUUUUUAUAAAAAACGUUAUCUUUUAAGCGUUGUCUAUUUACUAUUUUGUAGUAGUGUGCCCUUGAUCCCGCUGAUUACCUGUUGGGAGAAAAAUACAACAUGAGCUAAAUGUCUAGUACGGAUAUAGAAUACAAAUAAUGAACUGAAAUACCUAACUCAAUUUAAUGAACUGAGCUGAAACGAACAAAACUAACACAACGAAAUAAUAGGCUGAAUCAAAUGGCAUGGUGUUAUUUCAUAUCGAGCUAAAAAAACAAAAAUAUUCCUUGCCACACAGACAAGUCAAAUAAUGCCACACAAGCAAGUCAAAUAAUGUCACAUAGGCAAGUAACACACAUUGGAUCGUGAAUCUAAUACAUGUAAAAUCGAAAGGCGUGUUUGGCAUAAAUAUCACCAAUCCGCAGAACAAAACAGAAAAAUUAGGGUCGACCUAUACGCCUCUCACAACAAAAUAUCAAAUGGUCAACUCCUAUCGGAGCACAAAACAAAGACGUCGUGAACUGAUCACAUCGCCACGGAAGGUGUCAUGCCUCGAUGCCAAGAGUACACGCAUGUGGUACCCUUAAAGGUGGUUAUAACUCAGGUAUACCAUACGGUACAUUCUAACAAAAUAUCAUGUCACAACAUAUACGACACAAUAUCAACACAAAGGGGGUUCAUGUACAUGUUAAACUAAAACGAAUCAUCGAUACAAAGUCUCCAAAAAAAUAUAUUAACAUGCACAUUACUACGAAUAUCAAAUUAAAUUUUAAACAUGAUGCAAUAGUCUAAAGAGUACAAAUAUGAGUUUCAAUAUCAACACCAAAACAAAACUAUCAUAAUAAAUUGACAAAAUAUAAUUAUGAGUGACAAUACUAAUUUUUGAAACGAAUAAUUCGAACAAAUUAAAAUCAAAAGAGUCGUGCUGAAAGAAUACGAAAUCUGUACAUGUAAUAAGCAAUGUAAUAUUCAAAAUUUAAAUAAGACUAUCCUAAUCUCCUUCAAUUCGAUCUAAUAAAAUAAAAUAAAAUUUUAUUACAAAUCUAGUCAUUAAUAACAUAAUACUGAUAAAUUUAUUAUUAUAUAAAAUUUAUAAAUUUAACAGCAGAAUUAAUUAGUUUGAAUUAAUAUACAAAAUCUCAAUACAAUUUAUUGGUUUAACAGUACACUUAAUUACCUACUAAAAUAUUUCAUAUAUAUAUAUAUAUAUAGACAGAAUCCAGUAAGGACUUUUGGAUUUUGUUAAAAUGCGGACCUUUUUUUUUAAAACAACUAAAUUUUUUUUAAUAUUUUAUGGAACUGGAAUUUUUUCAUAAUACAGUGCUUUGGGUGUGAUUUGGAUACAUAUAACAAAACAUGUCAGACAUGUUUUGUUAUAUGUAUCCAAAUCACACCCAAAGCACUGUAUUAUGAAAAAAUUCUAGUUCCAUAAAAUAUUAAUUUUUUUUAGUUGUUUAAAAAAAAAUUAAAAAAAAAGUCUGGACCGUACUAAAUUGCGAAAGUCCGGACUGGAACCGGACCCUAUAUAUAUAUAUAUAUAUAUAUAUAUAUAUAUAUAUAUAUAUAUAUUGAAGGGAACUAUAUAUUAGUCCCCUUCAGUUGAGGGAUCCCUCAAAUAACACUAUUUGAGGGAUGGGCCGCUCUCAACCGUUAGAUUUAUUUUAAUUACUAUAUGUGGCUGAAAAAACCUAAGGCACGCCAGAAGGGAAAAGACGAACGCGGAAGGGAAAAGAGGAAGAGUCGCAAAAGGGAAAAGAGGAACGCAGAAAGAAAAAGAGGAAGAGUCUCGUGCAAGCUUAAGAGAAGAUCAACUCUUUCGAGAUGAAGAGAUGACCCACCAUUUUCACAAUUUCCAACUCAGCUUGCAAGAUUUCAAAUUUCUAUAUGUUAAAAAUUCGUGUGACUUAUUAUUCUGGUAUCUGACAUGGUUUUUUUUAAAUCGAUUUGAAGAUUUCUGCAAAAAGUUAAAAUUACAUCUCCAAAUUUGAUAUGGGUUCAUGUGAUUUACUCAUUAUUGUUGUUGUGGUGGUGUUAUCUGAGUUUUAAAUAUGGGUUUUAAAAUUGAUUGCAACCAUCAAACAUUUAAUGGGUAAUUUUUUAUUUCACAUAUAAUGAUGAAUUCUAGCUAUAAGUUUUAAUGGGCAAUUCUUGAUUUAAUCAAAAUUCUGAUCCUGCACUUUUUUGCACUUCAAAGAGUUUGUGCACAAAUAGAAAAUAUAGAUUUUUAACUUACAUAAUAUAUUUGUGUUGAUUCUUGUGAAAUUCUUUACAGAUUGUGUUGUACAGAAUACUACUAAAAUUCAAACACACUAGAUAUGUGUACUGAAAUUCCAGACCAAUAAGUAUUUCAAAAGACAAAAGUGAACCUAACCUGCAGUGACACUAAACUUCUGAAAUAUAAUUACAGACAUACCCACAAGUUGCUGAAAAUCUAGACAAAACAAAUGUACAUAUCAAAAGAGGAGAAAAGGAUGUGCACAUAUAGAUUUUCACUUACAUAAUAUAUUUGCGGUAGAGUAGAUUUUCUUGUCUUUUUUUUCUUUUCUUAAUCUAGUCUUUUGGAUUAAGGGGAAAAAAGACAAGAAAACAGAAUAUCAUACAUAUAAUAUAUUUUUUAUCUACUCUUAAUUGAUAUUUGAGAAGAAAAAAAAUAGAAUGUCAUAUAUGCCCAUGUUUUGUGAUUAAAGUGCACCUGUGCAUGUUCUAUGGUUAAACAGAUUCGUCUCACCUGUCAUUCAAUUAUGAAAGCUAAUAAUGACAUAUUAGAUGUGACGCCCCCAAAAUAGGUAUACAACACCCAUUCUGAGUCGUCAAAAUACAUGGUACAGAAAUAACUACAACUUUAUUAAUACAAUUAUCGUGCAAAAUACGACAACACAUAAAUUGUGAGUUUAAAUACAAAUAUUGUCAUCUAGACAAUAUCCACACUCAAAUAAGUCCUCAUUACAAUUAUUAAUACACUAUUUUACAAAAUAGUGAGGAUUACUAAAACAACUUCUAGAACCAUCAUUCCACACCCGACUAGUACUCGCUACAUUCUCGCCUCUUGAAAAUAAAAAUGGAACAAAAGGAAAAGGGUGAGCUCAACUAGCCCAGUAAAGAAUAUUAUGACUAAGAUAAUAUAGAACAAAUUAUCGUUAGUCUUCAACAGGGAAAAAUUUGAUAAAAUAUAAUAGACAACAAGUUCAGAUCAAAGUACCAAAAUACUCACAAGAAUACGCUCGAUAAUAUAGAGAGAGAAAGAGAGACAAAACUUGUUUCUGGUGUGAUUUUCAAUUCUAACCUAAGCACCCUAUUUAUAGGAAAUUGCUUAGAACACCAAAGUAGAAAAUUUAAUAAAAUAUUAAUACUAUUUAUUUAAAUUCCUAUGCCCAUCUUGAAUAACUAAAUUCAGCCAUUUCAAAAACCAGUGGGGCCCACCAAACAUAUCAAAAAUGUUUUUCUUUUAAAAAAAAUUUAAAACUUUAAAAAAACAAUUAUUCCGGAACUUCAGAAUUUCAAUAAUUCAUAAUAAAUAGCCCUUUUAUCAAAAAAAUUCAAAUCUUAAGUCCAUUCUAUAGGAAAUUUAAUUCUCUACAACUUUACAGAAGAAAGUUUUUCCAAAUUUCAAACAAAAAUUGACCAAAAUCCAUAUACGGACGAUUUUACAGGCUAUAAUCAAAUUUCAGUCAAGAAAUGGGCCCACCGACAUGUUUAACAUGUUUUUAACUUUUAUUGUAACAAAAAUACUCUUCCUCCUCAUUUAUUCAUAUAUCCCACAUUCACUGUAAAAAUAUCACCAUUAUUAUAUUAUUAAAAUAUAAUAAUAUAUUUAAAUUAAUUAUUUUAUCAGAAAAGAUAAAAUAUCAAUUUUUCAACAAUUGUCACAUUAAAAAUUUCUCCAUCUAUAUCCACAUAAAAUGAAUAUUUUUCUUAUCAUAUAAAUUAAUAAUUAAUUAUUCACAAAUAAUAUUAUAGAAUCACAAUAUCGACAACCAGGCCGUUUCCAGGAAAGAGGGGGCUUUCCAAUAAGGAUUUCUCCUUACUGGCGCGUGUAAGACCCCAACUUUUAUGAAUAAAAAUUAAUUUCUCUCAAAAUAUAUUUUUGAAUAUUAUGGUGUGGAUAUGAUAUAAUGUUAUACUUGUGGGUAAUAUUUAUAAAUUUUGCAAAGUAAGUAAGUGGUUAUAUAAUAUUCGAUUGGUCGGGGAAUAUUCGUUUGAACAGGGAAUAUUCGUACGACGGCACAAUCAUUGGUGGACCCCACAACGGAAGUAUUGUCGUAGUAAGAAAACGACAGAAUUAUCUUGUUAUAAAAAUAACGGCGGAAGUGUUACCGUUAAAACUGUUGAACUACCCGGUAGUAAAAGUACAAUAAUACGCGUGGUUGCAUAGUAGCACACGAUAUUUGUUAUUGAUGUUUACGUGAGAAGUCACUCAGUUAUACUCAAUUAUUGCUACAGUAAUUGUUGCAUUAUAUCUCUCAUAUUAUUGAUUCGAUUAUUGUCAUAGUAUCAUCUGCAUUAUAUGAUAUAUUAUUAAAUCAAUAAUUGAGACGACAAAGUUAUUCAUAUUAUUAAAUUGCAAUAUUUACAAUGUCUAGAAGUUCUGCCCAGGAGAGGUUUGGUCACCUAAUUGCGCGCCAAUAGGGAGAAAUCCUUAUUGGAAAGCCCCCUCUUUCCUGGGAACGACCUGGUUAUUAAAUAUUGUGAGUUAUAAUAUUAAUGAUGAAUAAGUUUGUGUUGAUUAAAGAUGAAUUUGAUAGUUCUAUUGUGUUGGGAUUAUUAGUGUUAGUGGUAAUCGACAUCUAUUCCGAUGAUAAUUGAUGUCUGGGGGUUAUAUUGAUAAAUCGGGGAAUUUAUCGGAUAAAUGAGCAAUUAAUUGCUACUAAUUCACAUGCUUAUAUAACUAUUUGUUCACAUGUGUGUACUAUUGAAUCACAUUCUUGUACUAUUAGGGGAGUUGGUGCAAGAUUGAUAAUACUUGCAUGACUAAGUUAAAAAUGGAGGUAUAGAUGGAGGUACUAUACUGUAAUUCGUAUUUUCACAUGAUUAUAACUAUUGAUUCACAUGAUUGAACUAUUGAUUCACAUUAUUUACUAUUAGGGGAGGUGGUGCAAGUUUGAUAAUACUUGCAGGACUAAAUUAAAAAUGAAAGAAAAGUUGGAGGUAUUGUACUGUAAUUUUUCGAGCCCCAAAACGUGCAAUUAUCGAAACUAUAUUUUUCUAUAAAUAGAAGCUCAUUCUUCCUUCAUUUCUCACCAAUUCACUAAAGCUAUAGAGCAAUUAUUAUAGAGAGAAAUUAUAGAGAGAAGCCUGCUACGUCACUAUUCUAGUAUCCAGUUUCUUCUGAGGUAAGGGGUAUUAUUUCUUUUGUAUUCAUGAAGAGAGCUAUUGUUAUUCCAUCCCUUAUUAUUCUAUUGGAAUAACCUAUUUAUGCGAAGUGCUGCAUACAUGGUGAAAUUCUCCUGUUAUUCUAUUCUUCAUUAUUAUGUUGGAAUAACCUGUUUAUGCGAAGUACCGCAUACAUGGUGAAAUUCUUCUAUUAUUCCAUUCUUUAUUACUCUGUCGGAAUAUCAUGUCUGUGCGUUUACGCCCGACCUGGUUCCAUCAUUUAUUAUUCUGUCGGAAUAUCCUGUCUGUGCGUUUACGCCGGACCUGGUUCCAUUAUUUAUUAUUCUGUCAAAAUAUCCUGUCAGUGCGUUUACGCAUGACUUGGUUCCAUUCUUUAUUAUUCUGUUGGAAUAACUUGUUUGUGCGGUCUAUCGCAUGCAUGAUGAUUUCUUCUAUUAUUCCAUUCUUUAUCAUUCUGUUGGAAUAACCUGUCUAUGUGGAUUAUCACAUGCAUGGUGAAUGAACCUUUGUAUUCAUUCCUCAGUAGCCAGUUGUAGUGCAUUGAUGGACAAUUUUUGGUAUGAAUAUGACCAGGGAUUAUUCGGUAUAGUCAUGACCAUGGAUGAUUUAAUGAAUAUCCUUGGCCCGUAGUGCAGGGAUGACUCGAUGAUGUGGUUUAUUUGUUAAGCUGAGUCUCGGCGAUAAAAAUUGAUGAAAACUUUUUAAAUGAUAGAAGAUAAUAGAUUUUAUUCUCUACUUGACUCUUCUAAUGGAUUGUUUGUUCCGCUGCAGUUAAACUUGAUGUCUAUUAUAUUUUAUCAGUUUAACAUUGUUGAAGACUAAUGAUAAUUUAUUCUGCAUUAUCUUAAUCACGAUAUUUCUUACUGGGCUAGUUAAGCUCACCAUUUUCUUUCACUGUUCUCUUCAGGAAAUGAGAAUAUAGCUGGGACGAGUCGAGGAACGGAGUGACGGUCC
rnacentral:lncRNA from 1 species